AUCUAUAGUCAUACCACCGUGAAUGUGCCCGCUCUUAUAUGAUCUCAGAAGCUAAGCAGGGUGGGAGAAGUGGGAAAUAACAACUAGAUA
rnacentral:rRNA from 1 species